rnacentral:SRP_RNA from 1 species
GCCAGGCGUGGUGGUGCACGCCUGUAAUCCCAGCUAUUCAGGAGGCUGAGGCAGGAGAAUUGCUUGAACCCAGGAGGCGGAGGUUGCAGUGAGCUGAGAUCAUGCCACUGCACUCCAGCCUGGGUAACAGAGCGAGACUCUGUCUCAG